rnacentral:rRNA from 1 species
AGAAUCAACGCUGGCGGCGUGCCUAACACAUGCAAGUCGAACGAGAAAGUGGAGCAAUCCAUGAGUAAAGUGGCGACCGGGUGAGUAACACGUGACUAACCUACCUUCGAGUGGGGGAUAACCUCGGGAAAACCGAGGCUAAUACCGCAUAACAUCGCAAGAUCAAAGCAGCAAUGCGCUAGGAAGAGGGGGUCGCGGCUGAUUAGCUAGUUGGCGGGGUAAUGGCCCACCAAGGCGAAGAUCGGUA